UAUUUACACUUUCAGUUUCUCACACCAGAGAAACUAUUCGGUAUUUACACAUGUGUGUCCUAUUUAUUUCACUUAAGAGUAUUGCCUCAAUGUACAUCCACUUAGCUAUAAAUGUCUCUAAUUUCUCAUUUUUUAUGGCUGAGGUCAUUAUAGUUUUGAUAUGAUUUUCUGUAUUUUCCAAGUAUGUAUUUUAUGACCACUUUGCCUUAUAUUCUUUGUUCUUCACUAUCUUCUGAGGAUCCUCUUUUUGUGAGUUUCUUGUUAUAUAUGCAUGUACUCUUUUUUAGUCCAUACUGACACUUGAUUUCUAUUUCAUUUUGGUUUUCUGUCAGGCCAAGAUAGCCAGGUUAACCAAACGUUUUGGAGCAGCCAAAGAAGAUCUUAAGAAAAGACAAGAAAAUCCACCAAACCCACCUGUAUCACCAGGAAAAUCUGCAAGUGAUAUCAUCAGCAAUAAUAAUAUGGCCUACAGAAAUGCAAGCACAGUAAGGCAGAUGUUGGAGUCCAAAAGAAAUGUAGGUGAGAGUGCACCACCGUCUUUUCAAACUCCUGUGAAUACAGUAUCUUCAACCAAUCUUGUCACUCCUCCAGCAGUUGUCACUAGUCAACCUAAAUUGCAGAAUCCAGCAACCUCAGGCUCUCAGACAGCAACACCAGUUCUUCCUGCACCCAAUACCGCUACAGUAGUUGCAACUACUCAGGUGCCUACUGGAAAUCCUCCACCUACAAUUUCUUUACAACCUUUGCCAGUGAUUUUGCAUGUUCCUGUUGCAGUAUCCUCCCAGCCUCAGCUCCUACAGAGCCAUCCAGGGACUUUAGUAACCAAUCAGCCAUCUGGCAAUGUUGAAUUUAUUUCUGUGCAAAGCACACCUACAGUGAGUGGUCUUACCAAAACUCCAGUAUCUUUGCCAUCCUUGCCAAAUCCCUCUAAACCAAACAACGUUUCUUCUGUGCCCAGUCCUAGUAUUCAAAGAAACUCUCCUGCCAGUGCUGCACCAUUAGGAACAACACUUGCUGUACAAGCUGUUCCAACAGCACACUCUAUUGUACAAGCCACAAGGACUUCUUUACCUGCAGUGGGUCCAUCAGGACUCUAUAGUCCAUCAAAUAAUCGAGGUCCUAUACAGAUGAAAAUUCCAAUUUCUGCUUUUAGUACUUCAUCUUCUGCAGAACAGAACAGCGCUACCACCCCAAGAAUUGAAAACCAGACAAACAAACCAAUAGAUGCUUCUGUUAAUAAGAAAGCAACUGAUAGCACAGCACAGAGUGGAAAAGCCACUGGCAGUGAUUCAGGUGGUGUCAUUGAUCUCACAAUGGAUGAUGAAGAAAGUGGAUCUUCACAAGACUCCAAAAAAGUCAGUCACACUCCUAUAUCAACCAUGGGUUCUUCUCAGCCCAUGUCUCGACCAUUGCAACCCAUACAACCAGCGCCACCUCUUCAGCCAUCUGGAGUGCCAACAAGUGGACCAUCUCAAACUACCAUACACUUACUACCUACAGCUCCAACCACCGUGAAUGUAACACACCGUCCAGUAACUCAGGUGACCACAAGACUUCCUGUACCAAGAGCUCCUACAAACCAUCAGGUGGUUUAUACAACUCUCCCAGCACCACCAGCUCAGGCCCCACUGCGAGGAACUGUUAUGCAGGCUCCUGCUGUUCGCCAGGUCAAUCCUCAAAAUAGUGUUACUGUUCGAGUGCCUCAAACAACCACAUAUGUUGUAAACAAUGGACUAACCCUGGGAUCAGCAGGACCUCAGCUCACAGUGCAUCACCGACCACCACAAGUGCAUACUGAGCCCCCACGCCCUGUGCACCCAGCACCCUUACCAGAAGCCCCCCAGCCACAGCGUCUGCCUCCAGAAGCUGCCAGCACAUCUCUGCCUCAGAAGCCACACUUGAAGUUAGCACGAGUUCAGAGUCAGAAUGGCAUUGUACUGUCAUGGAGUGUUCUGGAGGUGGAUCGAAGCUGUGCUGCUGUUGAUAGUUAUCACCUCUAUGCCUACCACGAGGAGCCCAGUGCCACCGUGCCCUCACAGUGGAAGAAGAUUGGGGAAGUGAAGGCACUCCCCUUGCCCAUGGCAUGCACUCUUACCCAGUUUGUGUCUGGCAGCAAGUACUACUUUGCAGUGCGAGCCAAGGAUAUUUAUGGACGUUUUGGACCUUUCUGUGAUCCUCAGUCAACUGAUGUGAUCUCUUCUUCCCAGAGCAGUUAAACCUUGGAGCCUUUCUCUUCUCCUGUUUCAGAAGUUCCACUUUUUGGUCUUGUUUUUAAUCUUGUGCAUGAUACCCAGUGUAAAAUCCACAUUGUGCAAGAUUUCUUGGACUGAUGUGUGUAUACACUACAUUUGUUUAUAAGCAGAAGUAAAAUAAACUCAGCCUAUAAAGCAACAAUCUUUCCUGGACAAUUCAAGCUUCAGGGUUUUGAAAUAUAAAUGUGUACCGUCUUUUAAUUAUGAGAGUCUGGGGAAUAUGUAUAGGUGUUUGUAUGGGUUGUUUGUUUGUUUUUUCCUAUUUGUGUGUUUAUUGCAAUGGGAUCUCCUAUUUUCAUUCUCAAAUUUACCUCUCUUUCAGUAUGAAGCGAGUAGAUCAAAGAAUCUGAGGUAUGUAACUGGCAUGAUUCUGCUCAUAAGGCUUCUGUAGAAUCAUAGUUAAGCGAUAUAAACUGAAUCUAAACAAAACCCAAAGAAGUAAAUGAAAAGCAUACUGGCUAACUUAAAAUAGAUUAAUUGGAACACAGGAAAGGAUCUAUUCAUUUUUUUCUUUGAUUUCUUCUCCUGGGUGGUUAGGUGAAAAACAAUCUGCAGAACCCUUCCCCCAUCCUUUCCUAAUCUGGUUUUUACAUUUAUUUGUGCCUUAAAGAUUAACUACAGAAAUAAACAUGGCCAUAUUUCCAUUGUUGUUUACUCUUCCCUUUUAGCCUUUCCACCUCAAUUUCUCUUUCAUCUUCAUCAUAUUUGGCACAUAUCCCUCAAGUAAUUUUUAAACCAAGGCCUUUAUAUACUCCUCACCGCAAAUCUCUGGUACCACUGCAUUUGACUUGCCAUUUUCAUCUAAGUAUGUAGAUACUUUCAGUUUUGGUCAUUACUUAACACUCCAUAAAAUGGACCAAUUGGGACCAAGAGAAACCACACUGUGUGUGUAAGACAAGUUUCCAUCAAACCUACUUUAGCGUCCAUGUUGCACACUGCAUUAGAUUUCUAAAGCAAUUCUAGUUUACAGUAUCCAUAAUGUAUUCUUUCAAAGGAAGAAAAUACUAAAGAUCACAAAAUACAUUGAGCUAAUAAAAGGGGAAAGCUGGGUUUCCUUUUUAUUCUCAUGUUAUCUUCUUGUUUUUUGGGGGGUUUUUUGGUACCGGGGAUCGAACUCAGGACCAUGUGCUUGCAAGGCAGGCAGCGGAACCACUGAGCUAAAUCCCCGGCUCAUGUUAUCCUGUUUUUAAUCUUUUAUUUCAGUUUUGAUUGUGCCAAGUUAAGCCUGAUUUAGCCUUUAUCUGCUUUGGAUAGAAUUUAAAGUAUAUCUGUUGGGGUCCUUUCAUAUAACAAUUAAGUAUAAAAAUCUGUGUAUCUCCAUUCCUCUUCAAAGUAAUAAAUUUCAGUCAUAUUUUCAAUAUUGAAUGCAAGCUAUACUGGUUAUCAGGUAUGUAUUUUCAGUGUAGAUAGUUUAGGACAAGAGGGUGGUUUAAGUUUUAAAGAUGAGUGUGGUUGGGAAUAUUGUGAAAGAUAUUCACAAAGUUAGUGAAAUAACUUUUCAAGUUUCUUCCCUUGGUGUUUUGACUUUAUAUUUCUGCUUUCUCCAAAUACAUUAUUUUUUCCUAGAAUUACAGGAGGGAGCUAUCCCUUUUAUUAGUUUACAACUUUGAUGGCUUAUAAUAGGAAGUAUUCCAGUUGGUAAAGAAAUUAUCUUUAAUUAUCUUUUAUUAGGUGUGAGGUUUGAUUAAUAAUAGAAAAUACCAACAGUUGCCAGAAGGUAUAAACUCUCUAAGCCUUUCUUUUACUCUAAAAAUGAGACUAUAAUGAGAAUUAGUUUUUCAUGAAUGAAAUUACCAACCAUGUAGAUACUGCCUAUUCUAGGACAAAUGAUGAUGGAAAGAACUUCCCAGUGUUAUGAUAAUGAAAAUUUCAACAGGAGAAAAUUGACUUCAAGAUCUGUAUGUAUGAACACCUGUCUAUAUCUGCAUGUAUACAUGUUUUUACCUGAAGUGGUUGUAAUGUUGAUUAUGUGAUAAAGAACAUUCUGGUCUACAGAGUAGAAAGCUCAUAUUCAGAAUAGUUUAUUAGCUGGUUUCUUGGUCAUGUAGUAAAGAUUUGCUUACUUGGUCCACAAAAGUUUCCCUUGUUGAACAUUUUUAUUAAUAUUCACUACACUAAUCUUGUUUUUAAAAAUUUAAUUGCAUUAUAUAAUCAGAUGAAGAAAGUCUAGUAGAAUGAAUAUUUUGUAUUAUUUUAGCCUAUAUUGAGUGUUUUCUGUCAAUAGGGGGAAAAAAAGGAACUCUAAAAAUACAUUUAUUCCAGAAAAUAAUCACACAAAACUUUUUAUUCCAGAUGGUAGAAGGUACAAAGAGAUUGUAAUUAUUUAAGAAAAAAAGUAUAUUAUCGUUGGUCUUCUCAAAUUAAUCUGACAUGGGUUUAUGGGCAGUAGACAUGUUGGAUUUACUGAGAAGUGCUAGAUUAGAAUCUUGGGCUUUUUGGGGGGUUUAAUGUUGAUGAAUGCUAGCUUUUUUGUUGAGUUUCUUUGGGAGAGAGAAUGGAGGACUCAGACUUUUUAGUAGCAUUUCACACUCCAGGGUUAUCUUUUUUAUUUAUUUUUUUGGUAAUUUCGUGGUAUCUUUUUACAAAGUAUUACCAAUAAGCUCAAUUGCCCCAUUUUGGGAAAGNNNNNNNNNNNNNNNNNNNUUGCUAAAUUUUUAGCCUGACAAUACUUGUGUAUGUAUUGCCUUAUUGGAAAUCAUGGAAGCUUCUGAUGCUUCAACCUGAAACAAAAGAUGUUUAUAUGGCAUUUAAAGGUAACAGUAACAUCUGGCACUACUUUGCACUGUGUCAGAGUAACCUCUUUUUAAAAUUUUGUUGUUGCUAGUAAAUUUAAAAUGGCAUAUAAAGGCGGUAACUGUUAUCUUUAUGAG
rnacentral:lncRNA from 1 species